GACGAACGCUGGUUGCGUGCUUAACACAUGCAAGUCGAACGGAAAGGCCCUGCUUUUGUGGGGUGCUCGAGUGGCGAACGGGUGAGUAACACGUGAGUAACCUGCCCUUGACUUUGGGAUAACUUCAGGAAACUGGGGCUAAUACCGGAUAGGAGCUCCUGCUGCAUGGUGGGGGUUGGAAAGUUUCGGCGGUUGGGGAUGGACUCGCGGCUUAUCAGCUUGUUGGUGGGGUAGUGGCUUACCAAGGCUUUGACGGGUAGCCGGCCUGAGAGGGUGACCGGCCACAUUGGGACUGAGAUACGGCCCAGACUCCUACGGGAGGCAGCAGGGGGGAAUAUUGCACAAUGGGCGGAAGCCUGAUGCAGCAACGCCGCGUGCGGGAUGACGGCCUUCGGGUUGUAAACCGCUUUCGCCUGUGACGAAGCGUGAGUGACGGUAAUGGGUAAAGAAGCACCGGCUAACUACGUGCCAGCAGCCGCGGUGAUACGUAGGGUGCGAGCGUUGUCCGGAUUUAUUGGGCGUAAAGGGCUCGUAGGUGGUUGAUCGCGUCGGAAGUGUAAUCUUGGGGCUUAACCCUGAGCGUGCUUUCGAUACGGGUUGACUUGAGGAAGGUAGGGGAGAAUGGAAUUCCUGGUGGAGCGGUGGAAUGCGCAGAUAUCAGGAGGAACACCAGUGGCGAAGGCGGUUCUCUGGGCCUUUCCUGACGCUGAGGAGCGAAAGCGUGGGGAGCGAACAGGCUUAGAUACCCUGGUAGUCCACGCUGUAAACGGUGGGUACUAGGUGUGGGGUCCAUUCCACGGGUUCCGUGCCGUAGCUAACGCUUUAAGUACCCCGCCUGGGGAGUACGGCCGCAAGGCUAAAACUCAAAGGAAUUGACGGGGCCCCGCACAAGCGGCGGAGCAUGCGGAUUAAUUCGAUGCAACGCGUAGAACCUUACCUGGGUUUGACAUGGAUCGGGAGUGCUCAGAGAUGGGUGUGCCUCUUUUGGGGUCGGUUCACAGGUGGUGCAUGGCUGUCGUCAGCUCGUGUCGUGAGAUGUUGGGUUAAGUCCCGCAACGAGCGCAACCCUUGUUCACUGUUGCCAGCACGUUAUGGGGGGACUCAGUGGAGACCGCCGGGGUCAACUCGGAGGAAGGUGGGGAUGACGUCAAGUCAUCAUGCCCCUUAUGUCCAGGGCUUCACGCAUGCUACAAUGGCUGGUACAGAGAGUGGCGAGCCUGUGAGGGUGAGCGAAUCUCGGAAAGCCGGUCUCAGUUCGGAUUGGGGUCUGCAACUCGACCUCAUGAAGUCGGAGUCGCUAGUAAUCGCAGAUCAGCAACGCUGCGGUGAAUACGUUCCCGGG
rnacentral:rRNA from 1 species